rnacentral:rRNA from 1 species
GAUGAACGCUGGCGGCGUGCCUAACACAUGCAAGUCGAACGGAGUCCAGCCUUUAAGACCUUCGGGUCAAAAAGGGGAAGACUGAGUGGCGGACGGGUGAGUAACACGUGGGCAACCUGGCUCAUAGAGGGGGAUAACAGAUAGAAAUUUCUGCUAAUACCGCAUACGCACACACUUCCUCAUGGCAGAGGGUGAUAAGAGAAUCGCUAUGAUAUGGACCCGCGUCUGAUUAGCCAGUUGGCAGGGUAAGAGCCUACCAAAGCGACGAUCAGUAGCCGAGAUGAGAGGAAGAACGGCAACAUUGGGAGUGCGACACGGACGAAAAUCUUACGGGAGGCGGCAGUGGGGGAUAUUGCAAAAUGGGGGGAACCAUGAUGCAGCGACGACGCGUGAGUGCAGAAGUAUGUCGGUAAGUAAAGCUCUAUCAGCAGGGAAGAUAAUGACAGUACCUGAACAAGAAGCCCCGGCUAACUACGUG